UUCAUAAUAUUAGUUUUUGUAGAAUUAUUUUUUAUACAAUUUAUUUUCAUACUUAUCUUUUUUUUAUUGACAUAUGUUUGUACGAGUAUCUCGGACUGCUCAUGGAGGCUAUAUAAUCCCUUUCAGGAAAUUUGAAUGUACCCAAAGGUAGGUUAACUUCUUUCAACUAAUUUGUUUUCUCUAUACACACAAGAGUCAAGAUUGGAAGUCUACUUGCUUCAUGAAGCACAUGACUUUCCAUGGUCAAUGAUGCUUCAUGCAGUGAUCUAACUUUCUGAAACUGAACCAACAACGGAUCGUUCUCAGUCACCACCCCAGACGAAUGUUUCCUUUAUUACGAUCGACAUAAUCAAACAUCAAUAUCCUCACACGUGUCUUACUCACGUGCACAAAACUUAAGCUUAUAGUUAUUGUCGUCAGAGUCAUCAUGGGAGAAGGUACAAAGUAAAUUAAAACAACCGAAAGCAUAAGCUUGGAUUAUUUUAUUUUGUCUCACAAUAAUGUUAUUACUUAUUCCAACCAAAGCAUUUAUUUAGUCUUACACUUGUUUCUCACUAGGAGAAAAAGGUUCUUAAUGCUCCUUCUAUUCCACCUCCUCUAAGAUUAGCAUCCAAUAGUAUAUAUAGCAAAAGCCUUUGUUUUCGAGCUUGUUACCAUUCAUGUCAUACACAAAUACAACAGAGGCUGAAGGUAGGUAUGAGGUGAAGGCACAAAUUAAUUAAAGUAGUAGACACUAUUAAAAAAAUACUUUUUUACGACACAAUAUUUACGACGGUCGUAAAAAACCGUUUUAGUAUGUAUAACGAUGACAAUCUCUUAGAUAUUGUAAAUAUUUUAAAGGUGGUUUCACAAAAACCGUCUUUGAAUUCGGGUAAUUUUAAUUCUCGCGUCCGUUCCUCUUCUUUCCACAAUUAAUGUCGCGUUUCUCUCUCCACAAAUCUUGCGUUUGUUCCUCUCUCCACUCGCUCGCUGUCUACGAUCUCCUCCUCUUCCCAUUACCCUUUCUCCACCUUCUCCCUGGGACUGCAAAAAACCCUCUCCUCCGGUGGAACCGCAAAAAACCCUAAUCCCCAAAAAACCCACAACUUAUUCACUCUAGACGGAACUGAACUGGAGCUGCACAAGGCUACACCUGAUGUGCGUUCGUGCGCUGCAAUGAUCAUGAAUGAGGGAAAAUGCGAAUAAGUCAAAGCAAAGGAGAGAGAAAAUGGUGUUGUUGCGCACGAUGAUUGUCAAUCACCGGUAGCGGCGAGUUUCCCUUGUGUCACUUGUAACUUCAUCCUUCUCUUUGUUGCUUGCAUUUGAUGAAGGCUUUAUUGUUAAUGGGCUUGUCUUGGUGUUGUGUGGGCCUAGUUCAUGUUUGAUUCAAGAUUGAGUGAUGAUUAAUGUUGGUUGGGGAUGCAUAGAGGUUGAGACGGUUACAGAGAGGGCGAUGGUAUGCUUGUAGUGGAGAUUCGCUGAGGUGUGUUCAGAUGGUUUGUGGGGUGGAAGCGAGAAUGAAUGUUGAAAAGGCAGAAAAGUAGUGUCGAUUAUGAUAGCAGAGGAGUUGUUGGAUGGUUAUUUCCCAGAAGGAAAAAAUAUUGUUGAUGUAUGAUUUUGGCUUUGGUUGCACCACUAAGAUGAGCACAUCAAUAUUUUGUCAGGCAGAAAAUGAAUACCAUCGAGCCAGGAACCAAGAACUAGUGAAUCUGCAAGAGGAAUCAUUAAUCAGACACGACGUGCAACAAAAGAACAAAUUCAAGCUCAAAGAAGGCAUUUAACAUUAAUUUUUGGAGUGACAUGUUAUAUUAUCUUAUUCUACCUUCAUAAUUUUGUGUACUCAGUGAACCAUUGGCUUUAAUCUAUAGCCUAUAACUUUUUAUUCAUUUUUCCCUGAUUACUUACUGACAUCAGUGUUUUUGCUUGACUGGUUUAGAUGAACUCCAUUCCAUAACAAUCUGUAUGUUGCAGGGGGAUUAAGAGUCAUUCUAACCAAUCAAAAUAAGUUGGUUUUAGCAGUUUGUGGAGUGACUGCUCUGGCAGCAGGGAGGGGUCUACACUGCAAGAAACAAUUUGAAGAGAUAUGUAAAAAAAUAUGUAAGGUGCCUGCUCUUUCGAUUACAUUUUGUGUGACUCCAGAUGUCGAUCCUUGAUAAGCUUACAGGUUAUGAAUCAAAACCUGAUUUUAGUGCUCAUACUCAUAUCAUUAUCAUUAUAUGUGUACAUUAUGAAAAAAUACUGCCAACACCUUAUGUUAGGUGGAAUGUCUUGAAAAUUAUGACCAGGCCUUACUUACUUCAGGGAAUAGAAAAGAAGACUGCGAAGUUGAGAGGAAUUGAGAAGGCUCUAGUUGCACAGCAUGAAGCUGGUCAUGCUGUAGUAGGUAAUGCAGUAGCAAACAUUCUUGCUGGACAGCCACGUGUUGAGGUAAACCAUGGAAAAUGCUCUAUUUUUCGCCAUUUAAAUAUGUCAAUGCCAUUGCAGAUAUGUAGAUGAUGCUUGGACCAAGUUACUUGUCUGCUUGAAUUUUUGGAUUUGAGACACUAUUGAACUAUAAUUAUUCUCAAAUACUCUGAUUGAUGAUUUCUAGUUCAUACAUGCUCUGGUUAUCAGAUUCCUGGUUUAAUGACUUGUGACCAAAAUUGGUUAAUUUAAAUUUUUUAUUAUUUUUUAAAAUUUUAGGUGUGGACUUUGGGAUAUUUUAUUUUAGAAACCAUUUUAAUGUUUUUAAUUAAACUCCUAAUUACCCUCACUUAUGUGAUAUUUUUUCUCUUUUCAUCAGCUAAUAUGAAAACAAUAAUUAAACUCCUAAUUACCCUCACUUAUAUCAUAGUCCAUUUUAUACAGAAUUAAAUUUAAAAAUAUGAAGGCAGCUAUAUAUCGAAGGCUUUUCUUUUUCAGUUGUGAAUAAGAAACGACGGAAGAAUCUAUUUAUAAGACCGUGCUAGUUUUAGAUAAACAUGAAAGGGAAAUUGUGGGCUUACACUCAAACACUAGUUAGGGAAAAGAUUCUCGUACCUACGAAAAUUAUACAUCGUCCCACGUGAAUAAGUAAUAGACUAUGUGUGUAGAUAUGGUUGUUUCAUGAAUAGUUAAAAAUAGAUGAAUAUAAGUCUUUGACUUCCCGAUGAG